ensembl:lncRNA
AGAUAUAGUAAAAUACAAGUGAAAAUAUGCAUCAGGAAAAGAACAUUAUCAUUUCUCUUAGAUGAAAUUCUCUUAGAGAAAUGAAGGGCAGAUGUGGUACUACCUGAGCAGGGGAAUGAGGCUGGUAAAGCCUGCUAUUGAGGGGCAAAAUUAACUGUGAAAAGCCAAACCAGGUACACAGAAAAACACACACUGAUUGUCUCUCAUUCUUUCUCUCUCUUACUCCUUCUGCUCACAUCCCCCAUCUGGCUGCAUAUAGCGUUGGCUUCCCUCCAGCUGCAGCAGAAGGCAGCAGGGAUGUGAGACUCCUGAACCUGCCUGCACCUCCUGCAACAUGGACAUAGCCAUAGAUGACAACAACCAUUGCAUUUUUCCAGCCUGAAGACUGUUAUUGACUCUUGCGUACCUACAGCCAAGUAGCAGAGCCUUGAUUCAUAAAAGUGGUGGAGA